UAGGAAGUGGUGUAGUGGAAGCACUGAGAGUUUUGGUCUCUCCAGUAAGGGUUCAAGUCCUUUCUUUCUAA
rnacentral:tRNA from 1 species